UACAGGGGGGGCAAGCGUUGUUCGGAAUUACUGGGCGUAAAGGGCUCGUAGGCGGCCGGCUAAGUCCGACGUGAAAUCCCCAGGCUUAACCUGGGAACUGCGUCGGAUACUGGCGGGCUUGAAUCCGGGAGAGGGAUGCGGAAUUCCAGGUGUAGCGGUGAAAUGCGUAGAUAUCUGGAGGAACACCGGUGGCGAAGGCGGCAUUCUGGACCGGCAUUGACGCUGAGGCGCGAAAGCCAGGGGAGCAAACGGG
rnacentral:rRNA from 1 species